rnacentral:tRNA from 1 species
CCUUAGCUCAGUCGGUAGAGCGACGGACUGUUAAUCCGCAGGUCGCUGGUUCGAGCCCAGCAGG